AUUCAGCUGACGAAUCCCAAACAGGACGGAACGCGCGUCCUAGAU
rnacentral:hammerhead_ribozyme from 1 species